CCCUUAGAGUUUGAUCCUGGCUCAGGACGAACGCUGGCGGCGUGCUUAACACAUGCAAGUCGUGGGGGGGUAGCAAUACCUCACCGGCGAACGGGUGCGUAACACGUGAGCAACAUUCCGAUUUCUGGGGGAUAGCCGGCCCAACGGCCGGGUAAUACCGCAUACGCUCAUUGAGAGGAGUCUCUUGAUGAGGAAACCUCCGGGGGAAAUCGAGUGGCUCGCGGCCUAUCAGCUAGUUGGCGGGGUAAUGGCCCACCAAGGCAAUGACGGGUAGCUGGUCUGAGAGGAUGGCCAGCCACAUUGGGACUGAGAAACGGCCCAGACUCCUACGGGAGGCAGCAGUGGGGAAUCUUGCGCAAUGGACGAAAGUCUGACGCAGCGACGCCGCGUGCGGGAGGAAGCUCUUCGGGGUGUAAACCGCUGUUGCCCGGAACGAAACGCCAGAUUCGUCUGGCUUGACGGUACCGGGUGAGGAAGCGCCGGCUAACUCUGUGCCAGCAGCCGCGGUAAUACAGAGGGCGCGAGCGUUGUCCGGAAUCACUGGGCGUAAAGGGCGCGUAGGUGGCCGUAUAAGGCCGCGGUGAAAGUUCGGGGCUCAACCCUGAAUCUGCCGCGGCGACUGUAUGGCUUGGGCACUGUAGAGGCAGAUGGAAUUCCGGGUGUAGCGGUGGAAUGC
rnacentral:rRNA from 1 species